GCAGCCACACAAAUCCCCCUGGGGUUUAUACUCUGAGAGUCAGAGUAUUACAAAAUCGUUUGAACAACAAACACAAAAUGAGAACACGUGGCCCUUUCUCCCUUCCUUGGAAACAAUGGGAAUUUCUCCAGCUCCUUCAGGAGAGCCAGGAUCUUCCCCUCUGCUACCGCAAGUCCARCUCUAAAGUUCAUGACUCUUCCCUUGCAUUUCAAUUCCAGUAAGCCCCAGCGGGUUGACUCCUUUUGCCAUAACAGAGCACCGAACAGAAAGGAURGAUGUUACAGCUAGAGCACAUGCACCUGGGUUCAGGUCCCGGACCUGAUCCACGUUCCCUGCUUGUCUUUGAGUUCACAGAGAUGAUCAUCAGAUAACUUGCCUUUGUUUCUGGGGCAGACAGGGCAGAGACAUGGGCUGUUUCCACACAGUAUUUCAGAAAAGCCUCUGCUGGUGCCAGACUUGCUCUCGCUGCAACACCAGAAGGAGUUCUGAGAGCUACCCAGCUCGCUYGGGCCAAGCAKACACCCAGAAUCUAUCACUAACUUUUGGAAAAUGGAUCUGUUCCAUUUUAAUCCAACACCUUUAGUGCAAAGAACCUCUCCUACUUCAUGACUCUAAAGGACAGAACAGGGUCUGCCUGGGCCUUAUGCMACUACUUCAUUAGGAACGUUAAAUACCAUAACCUGCRUUUUUCAAAGAGAAGAAAGAGCCUAGAACCAAGUCUCCUUGAGGACAAGAUGGCCCCCCUGGAGGAGCUGACUGCYGUCCAGCUUGMCCACUUAACCCUGUCCCCAGACGCGUUCAGCUCUGUCGCUAACACUGAACAAAUCUUUGACAGASCAUCCAAGCCGCCGGGCCUCAAUGAGUUGGCUGCUUACUGGGAUGAGUUGAACUCUGCUUUAGAGGAGAAUUGCUGGGAUCAACACAGUCUUCUCCAAAAUCCCUGCAGCUGGCAAAAUGGAUGUAUACAACUACACUCUGCAUUUCUCACCCAGAAGUCCGAGGUCCUGCCCGCUAUACCCAAGCCACAGCCAGACACUGGUUGUUACAGUUUCUUGGAAAAAGCUCCAUAGAAGCACCUUACACUCAGUUUCGCUCUACCACCAACCCUUCGAUGCAUGCUCUGUUACCUACAAAGGCUUAAUGAGCUCCUAGCAAGCACAACUGCUGACCCUCGGGGGCUCUGCCCCGGCGCCCUGGGCAGCAAGCUGACGCCCACAGUCACUUGUCCUUGCUCACCCGACACGGGCGCCCGCCUGCCUCUGUGCUGUCACAAGAGGCCAGCGGGGCACAGGGCCCGCAGCGCCCUCAGCCAGCACUCCGGCGGGGACCCUGCACCGUGCACGGACGCCUGCUGAGACUCUCCCACCCACCCGG
rnacentral:lncRNA from 1 species